UACGAACUGCGCGAACGUUAUUCGGAAUCACUGGGCUUACAGGGUGCGUAGGCGGCUUCUCAGGUCCGAUGUGAAAUCCCCCAGCUCAACUGGGGAACGGCAUUGGAAACCGGGAGGCUUGAGUGAGCUAGAGGUGCACGGAACUUUCGGUGGAGCGGUGAAAUGUGUUGAGAUCGGAAGGAACACCAGAGGCGAAGGCGGUGCACUGGGGCUUGUCUGACGCUGAGGCACGAAAGCCAGGGGAGCGAACGGG
rnacentral:rRNA from 1 species